rnacentral:tRNA from 1 species
GGGGAUUUAGCUCAGUGGUAGAGCGCUUGCCUAUCACGGGUAAGGGCCUGGGUUCGGUCCCCAGCCCCG